GACGAACGCUGGCGGCGUGCCUAAUACAUGCAAGUCGAACGCAGUGGGGACGGGUGAGUAACACGUGGGUCACCUCCCAUCAGAGGGGAUAACACUUGGCAACAGGUGCUAAACCGAUACUGAUGGAUGGACCCGCGGUGCAUUAGCUAGUUGGUGAGGUAACGGCUCACCAAGGCCACGAUGCAUAGCCGACGUUGGAGGGUGAUCGGCCGACCGGGGAUGGAUACACGGCCCAGAAUCCUACGGUAAGCGGCAGGAGGGAAUCGUGGGCAAUGGACGAAAGUCGGACCGAGCAACGCCGGGUGAGUGGAGAAGGUUUUCGGAGCGUAAAACUCUGUUGUUAGGGAAGCGGUAACGAACCAGAAAGCCACGGCUAACUACGUGGCAGCAGCCGCGGUAAUGC
rnacentral:rRNA from 1 species